CAUGAGUGGCGGACGGGUGAGUAACGCGUGGGCAACCUGGCCUGUACGGGGGGAUAACACUUAGAAAUAGGUGCUAAUACCGCAUAACGGGGGAAGCCGCAUGGCUUUUCCCUGAAAACUCCGGUGGUACAGGAUGGGCCCGCGUCUGAUUAGCCAGUUGGCAGGGUAACGGCCUACCAAAGCGACGAUCAGUAGCCGGCCUGAGAGGGCGGACGGCCACACUGGGACUGAGACACGGCCCAGACUCCUACGGAAGGCAGCAG
rnacentral:rRNA from 1 species